CGCUCAUGUCCUUCCUCCGACAAUUCUCCAACCACAUCGCUCGCCGGGGGUUGUCCUUUGGAAGUCUAGGAGCACACACAGGAGGCUUUUUCAGUUAAUUUGUUUUUGUUACUGUGUGGAACCCAGUUCAGCUACUGAUUGACUGUGUGACUGCGGAAGUGGAUAAAAGCCCCCCAUCCAAAAAAUGACUAUCAUCAGUGCAGGUAAGAAAAAAACCUAAUUUUAAUUUUUAUCAUCUACAAUACUGUCUUAUUUAUUUUAUAGUACAGUACAUUGAUUAUUGCUUUCAUUUUAUGGAUCAAUGGUCUUGUUAGAUAGUAAAAUUGCUGUUUUAGGGGUUGUUUUUAAAAGUCUGGAACAGAUUAAUCUGUUUUGCAUUACUUUCUAUGGGAAAGCAUGCCUUGGCUUUGGAACGCUUUGGUUUUGGAACGGACUUCCAGAAAGGAUUAAGUUUGAGAACCAAGGUUCCAAUGUAAUGGAAAGAUCCUCAACUAGUCAAAGGAGUGACAGCAGGAAUCUGGUAGGUUUUCUUAGCCUUUCCUCUGCCUUGUGACGGCUCUAACUUUGGAUCAAUGGCUACACACACACACACACACACACACACACACUUUAUAUUCUGCCAUGAGCUCCUCAAGGAAGGGUGGGACAGAAAUAUAAGAAGAAAUACUAAUAUCCCCAACGUGAUAUUCCUGCAGACUAGUACCAGCCAGCCCUCAAUUCAAAAUGGGCACCAUUUUGAAAGGGAGAUUGGGUGGGCCCAGAAUAGCAUCAACUCUCACCGAUGGAAGGAAAUGCCUCGGUUGCGUGUCUCAGGAGUGUCACGGGUGCAGCAGCCAGUGGCAGAACAGUGGCGGGGCAUCUAUAAGAAAAGAGAGGAACUUUAAAACCCACACUAUCCUGAAGACUCAGGGUAAGCUAUAGAAGCUAUUAUAUUUGUAUUUUAAGAGGAAGGGGCAUGUUGGGUAUUCAGAAGCCCCAAGAGCUGACUAAGUGUGCUAAGAAAGUCCCAAAAUUCUGCAACAAGUUAUCAUAAUUCGUUGCCAAAAGCAUCUGCAUUCUAUAAGCUGUAGAAAUUAUUCUAAUCAGCACAAUUUAUUCACAUAAUCUGCUAGUUUUUGUUUUUUAGGCAGCGGUUAAGACAAGGAGCUAUAUAGGGAAGCGAAGUCCCACUCCACAAUAUAACUACUGGAAAUCAUCUUCAUCCACCCACUUGGUUUAUUACAUUUUACCAGCAUUGCAGACAAAACUUAAAAGCCCACCUUCACAAGACAUCUAAGAUUCUGAAGAAGCAGGAUCCCUUGCACAGGAACACAGUAAGUUUUUCAGUCUGGCAUGGAAUACACACAAGCUGACUCUCAAGUCAUGCAGGUUCUUCCUUUUGUUAUACUUGAUGAGCACCUACUCUCUGUUUGCAUCUGUUUCAAUUGUUUUUCAAGGUAUCAGAAACAACGAGGGGGGG